AGCUCCAAUAGCGUAUAUUAAAGUUGUUGCAGUUAAAAAGCUCGUAGUUGAACUUCAGGCCUGGCCGGGCGGUCCGCCUAACGGUGUGUACUGUCUGGCUGGGUCUUACCUCUUGGUGAACUUGCAUGCCCUUCACUGGGUGUGUAAGGGAACCAGGACUUUUACCUUGAGAAAAUUAGAGUGUUCAAAGCAGGCCUACGCCCGAAUACAUUAGCAUGGAAUAAUAGAAUAGGACGUGCGGUCCUAUUUUGUUGGUUUCUAGGAUCGCCGUAAUGAUAAAUAGGGACAGUUGGGGGCAUUUGUAUUGCGUCGCUAGAGGUGAAAUUCUUGGAUUGACGCAAGACAAACUACUGCGAAAGCAUUUGCCAAGGAUGUUUUCA
rnacentral:rRNA from 1 species